rnacentral:rRNA from 1 species
AUUGAACGCUGGCGGCAGGCUUAACACAUGCAAGUCGAGCGAGCGGCGGACGGGUGAGUAAUGUCUGGGAAACUGCCUGAUGGAGGGGGAUAACUACUGGAAACGGUAGCUAAUACCGCAUACCAUCAGAUGUGCCCAGAUGGGAUUAGCUAGUAGGUGGGGUAAUGGCUCACCUAGGCGACGAUCCCUAGCUGGUCUGAGAGGAUGACCGGCUGCACUGGAAAUGAGACACGGUCCAGACUCCUACGGGAGGCAGCAGUCGGGAAUAUUGCGCAAUAGGCGCAAGCCUGAUGCAGCCGUGCCGCGUGUGUGAAGAAGGCCUUCGAGUUGUAAAGCACUUUCAGCGAGGAGGCGUUGCUCGCAGGAGAAGCACCGGCUAACUCCGUGCCAGCAGCCGCGGUAAAUAC